UACGGGGGGGCAAGCGUUGUUCGGAAUUACUGGCGUAAAGGGCGCGUAGGCGGCCUUCUAAGUCAGACGUGAAUCCUCGGCUCAACCGAGGAACUGCGUCUGAUACUGGAAGGCUUGAUCGGAGAGGGAUGUGGAAUUCAGGUGAUAGGCGGUGAAAUGACGUAGAUAUCUGGAGGAACACCGGUGGCGAAGGCGGCAUCCUGGACCGUAGUGACGCUGAGGCGGCGAAAGCGUGGGAGCAACAGGG
rnacentral:rRNA from 1 species